CGAUUGAUAGCUAUACAUUUUAUUUUAUUUCCAAGGUAACGUCUUAGGCAGAAUGACUUGUAAAUUAAAAUUAUCAAUAUUGUUAGUUUAUCGGAAACAAUUAAGUUGUUGAGACAUUGGAAUAAUAUCACUGGCUGCAUUAAUUUUAUCAAGUAUGCAAGUACAGGUUGGAAUUAUAUGUUUGUUAGUGGUUUGCGCAGCGUCCAUUCCUGUGCCUAUCCAAUUCAAUGAUGGACAGUUGCCAUAUGGCCUUGGGUCCCCACUCAAUUUUAAAGGAAUUGGUUUUAGAAAUCCAUACGGUGCUAUGCCGUUUCUUUUGAACUAUGUAGACAGAGAUGCGUUUGAAGAUAAUCCGGAUGUUGAUACUGACCGGGUAGACAUGUAGAAAUAACAGGAAUGAACUUUUGUAAUGGCGUUCUGUGCUUAAUGUUACUAUUGUAAACAUUUUUAUUCUUCUUUUAACGAACCCUUAUGGAGAAAUAUAUAUAUGUUAAGUAAAAUAACAGCAGCAUUUCUACAUUGCAAUCCACUUGUAUUGAAUACUUCAAACGAUGUUUUCAAAUAAGUCAACUGUAGAUUGGCAGCUUAAAUAAAAUUUUAGAAAAAAGGGUAUACAAUGUAUAUAGGGAUAAAUCUUGUUAUAUGUCAUGUCUAAAUGAUUUGCAUAUUAUAUAUUUAAUAUUUUGUUUAACAAUGCUAGUAAAAUUUGUAUUUGAUGCUUGUGGACAUUUGCUAGUACAUUUUUGAGUAGUUUUACGAUGAUGACCAACGAUGUUUUGCAUUCGUGCACUUAUUGAUUAAACUUAGCUUCUAUUUCUUUCUUUUUUUCAUAUUUCGUAUUUUAUGUAUCAAUGUUUAUGAAAUUAUCAUUGUAGUAACAUUUAUUUCUUAAAAAUGAUCAAUAAAUGGAGACAUAAAGUCUGAUAAAAGAAUGGUGUUUUCGCAUGU